rnacentral:misc_RNA from 1 species
CCCAGAUUACGCUCAUGCAUACAAGUAAUUUAUGUGAAUUGCAGUGGAUUGAGAUAUCGCAUUCAAUAAUCCACAUGGAUUAACAACAAAACGAACAAGCCCUAAAGCAUCAAGGCGAUCCACCAGCGAUAGCAUGAAGGAAUGUUGGCAUGGGAGGCAUAUCAGGCUCAGACAGGCCUUCGAGAAACUGUACCACCUCAACCAUUGUAGGGCGAUCAUACUCAUUAUCCUGAACGCACCAACACGCAACUCUGCAGACUCUUUCAACGUCGUCUAGGUUGACAUCGCCGCCCAAGCUUGCAUCCACAAGGCUUCCGACGCCUCCGUUGAGAAGCUUGUCCACGACCUGCACAGGGAAACAACACUUGGCAUGGCAACAAUCACCGUCGGUGGAAGCUUCUCUGCCGGCGUUCCUCCUUCCCGAUACGAUAUCCAGCAAAACCAUGCCGUAGCUGUAAACAUCGACCUUCGAUGUGAUGGCUGUUCCGCUGAUCCAUUCAGGGGCGAGGUACCCAACAGUUCCUCUCAUCGUAGUCAGGACGCGGCUGAAAUCCCUCCCGAGAAACUUGGCCAUUCCGAAGUCCGCGAUCUUCGGAACGAAGGACGCGUCGAGAAGUAUGUUCUGCGGCUUGAUGUCACAGUGUAUGAUGCAGUCUCGGCAGCUAUGGUGCAGGUACGCUAUGCCUCUGGCAACACCGAGAGCUAUCUGAUACCUGAUGUCCCAGCGCAAACCGGUGGUGCCACCGCCAUGCGCGCUCUGGUGGAACAGGUGGAAGUCGAGGGAACGGUUCGGCAUGUGCUCGUAGACAAGGAGUCUCCUGUCACCUUCGCAGCAGAA